CAAAGCACUUUGUCAACUCGUAAGAGGAAGUAUAAGGUGUGACGCCUGCCCGGUGCUCGAAGGUUAAGAGGAUGCGUCAGUCGCAAGAUGAAGCGUUGAAUUGAAGCCCGAGUAAACGGCGGCCGUAACUAUAACGGUCCUAAGGUAGCGAAAUUCCUUGUCGGUUAAAUACCGACCUGCAUGAAUGGCGUAACGAGAUGGGAGCUGUCUCAACCAGAGAUUCAGUGAAAUUGUAGUGGAGGUGAAAAUUCCUCCUACCCGCGGCAAGACGGAGAGACCCCGUGGACCUUUACUACAACUUAGCACUGCUAAUGGGAAUAUCAUGCGCAGGAUAGGUGGGAGGCUUUGAAGUAAGGGCUUUGGCUCUUAUGGAGCCAUCCUUGAGAUACCACCCUUGAUGUUUCUGUUAGCUAACUGGCCUGUGUUAUCCACAGGCAGGACAAUGCUUGG
rnacentral:rRNA from 1 species